rnacentral:rRNA from 1 species
GGAGUUUGGACCGUGUCUCAGUUCCAAUGUGGGGGACCUUCCUCUCAGAACCCCUACUGAUCGUCGGCCAGGUGGGCCGUUGCCCCGCCUGCUGCCUAAUCAGACGCAUCCCCAUCGUCCAGCGAUGAAUCUUUACUCCGAAUCUGAUGUCAUCCUCGGAGAACAUAGGGUAUUAAUCCGCAUUUCUACGGGCUGUCCCCUACUGGACGGCAGGUUGGAUACGCGUUACUCACCCGUGCGCCGGUCGCCAUCGGCCUUAGCAAGCUAAGACCAUGCUGCCCCUCGACUUGCAUGUGUUAAGCCUGUAGCUAGCGUUCAUC